rnacentral:snRNA from 1 species
AAAUUGUAUGAAAGGAGAGAAGGUCAGCACUACCCUUGACAAGGAUGGAAGAGGCCCUCAGCUUGACAACACGCAUGUGGUUUA